UGUUGAAAAGCGAAAUAACAAAGAAGGAUUAGUUUUUUUCUCCUUUUACUCCAUUUUCUCCUACUCCUUCUCAUUUCAUGUUUCUCGAUCUGUUGUGAGAGUACGCCGCCUUUUCCGCCAAGAGACUCGUUUUCACGGACACCGGAUGAGUUAACCACUUGUCUAACCCAGCCGGCUCACCCAAUUUAUUUCACA
ensembl:ncRNA F35B12.16 ncRNA